AACGAACGCUGGCGGCAUGCCUAACACAUGCAAGUCGAACGAGACCUUCGGGUCUAGUGGCGCACGGGUGCGUAACGCGUGGGAACCUGCCCUUAGGUUCGGAAUAACUCCCCGAAAGGGGUGCUAAUACCGGAUAAUGUCUUCGGACCAAAGAUUUAUCGCCUUUGGAUGAGCCCGCGUUGGAUUAGCUAGUUGGUAGGGUAAAAGCCUACCAAGGCGACGAUCCAUAGCUGGUCUGAGAGGAUGAUCAGCCACACUGGGACUGAGACACGGCCCAGACUCCUACGGGAGGAAGCAGUGGGGAAUAUUGGACAAUGGGCGAAAGCCUGAUCCAGCAAUGCCGCGUGAGUGAUGAAGGCCUUAGGGUUGUAAAGCUCUUUUACCCGGGAUGAUAAUGACAGUACCGGGAGAAUAAGCUCCGGCUAACUCCGUG
rnacentral:rRNA from 1 species